GUAUUCGCUGCUGCAGCACAUAUACUAAGAUUGGAACAAUACAGAGCAGAUAGCAUGGCCCCUGCACAACAACGACAUGCAAAUUUAUGAAGCACUCCAUAUUAAC
ensembl:snRNA U6 U6 spliceosomal RNA